AUCACUUCUCGGCCUUUUGGCUAAGAUCAAGUAUAGUAUCUGUUCUUAUCAAUUUAAAUAAAAGCAAUCACUAAAUGAAGGCAGAUUAAGCAUCUCAGAAAGGCACACUCCUA
rnacentral:snRNA from 1 species